rnacentral:lncRNA from 1 species
UUUACAUAUGGAAAAUUUUCCAUAUGCAAAAUAUUUCUAAUCUCCAUGGAUUCUCCAUUUUAUCAAUAUUUAGUUAUUCUGUUCCUGUCAUAGAUCAGGUGAGUAAAUCUCUGAAUGGAUUGAUACUGAAAUCCAGGGAAAGAGACCAUAGUUAUAUAUGUGCAUUGUAUUGUGACAGUUAUGUAUCUCUGUUAGUAUUAAGCUAUUCAGGAAAUCCUUGGCUUGCCUAGAUCCAAUAUAUGUACAUCCAUAUUUACAUAGGAUUAUUUUUAGGUAACUAGCUAUGUUUGAACCCAGAUCCAAUCAGAAAAACUGCAGAUGUGAAUUUUGAUUUGAAUCCAUAUUCUCUAAGAUGGUAAGCAACUGCUUUAUCGUGUGACUUAUGUGCUUAUUCUUUAAUA